UGGGGAAUAUUGGACAAUGGGGGCAACCCUGAUCCAGCAAUGCCGCGUGUGUGAAGAAGGUUUUCGGAUUGUAAAGCACUUUCGACGGGGACGAUGAUGACGGUACCCGUAGAAGAAGCCCCGGCUAACUUCGUGCCAGCAGCCGCGGUAAUACGAAGGGGGCUAGCGUUGCUCGGAAUGACUGGGCGUAAAGGGCGUGUAGGCGGUUUGUACAGUCAGAUGUGAAAUCCCCGGGCUUAACCUGGGAGCUGCAUUUGAUACGUGCAGACUAGAGUGUGAGAGAGGGUUGUGGAAUUCCCAGUGUAGAGGUGAAAUUCGUAGAUAUUGGGAAGAACACCGGUGGCGAAGGCGGCAACCUGGCUCAUAACUGACGCUGAGGCGCGAAAGCGUGGGGAGCAAACAGGAUUAGAUACCCUGGUAGUCCACGCUGUAAACGAUGUGUGCUAGAUGUUGGGUAACUUAGUUAUUCAGUGUCGCAGUUAACGCGUUAAGCACACCGCCUGGGGAGUACGGCCGCAAGGUU
rnacentral:rRNA from 1 species